rnacentral:rRNA from 1 species
AUUGAACGCUGGCGGCAUGCCUUACACAUGCAAGUCGAACGGUAACGCGGGGCAACCUGGCGACGAGUGGCGAACGGGUGAGUAAUAUAUCGGAACGUGCCCAAUAGUGGGGGAUAGCCCGGCGAAAGCCGGAUUAAUACCGCAUACGACCUGAGGGUGAAAGCGGGGGAUCGCAAGACCUCGCGCUAUUGGAGCGGCCGAUAUCAGAUUAGGUAGUUGGUGGGGUAAAGGCCUACCAAGCCUACGAUCUGUAGCUGGUCUGAGAGGACGACCAGCCACACUGGGACUGAGACACGGCCCAGACUCCUACGGGAGGCAGCAGUGGGGAAUUUUGGACAAUGGGCGCAAGCCUGAUCCAGCCAUGCCGCGUGCGGGAAGAAGGCCUUCGGGUUGUAAACCGCUUUU